AUUGAACGCUGGCGGCGUGCUUAACACAUGCAAGUCGAUCGGUAACAGGUGUAGCAAUACAUGCUGACGAGAGGCGGACGGGUGAGUAAUGCUUGGGAAUCUGCCUAUUAGUGGGGGACAACCCGGGAAACGUACGGGCUAAUACCGCAUACGCUCUACGGAGGAAAGCCGGGGACCGGCAAGGCCUGGCGCUAAUAGAUGAGCCCAAGUCGGAUUAGCUAGUUGGUAGGGUAACGGCCUACCAAGGCGACAAUCCGUAGCUGGUCUGAGAGGACGACCAGCCACACCGGAACUGAGACACGGUCCGGACUCCUACGGGAGGCAGCAGUGGGGAAUAUUGGACAAUGGGGGCGAACCCUGAUCCAGCGACGCCGCGUGGGUGAAGAAGGCCUGCGGGUUGUAAAGCCCUUUCGGUGGGGAAGAAAAGUCUCGACCUAAUACGUCGGGACCUUGACGUAA
rnacentral:rRNA from 1 species